ensembl:lncRNA
UGUAGAUUGAUGAGGACAUUUUUUAUUUAAUCAAUUUUAGAAUAAGGCUCUAAAAAGUACAGUGGUUAAUGGACCCCAGGUAGAGUAGCUGCUGCAUAUUCAGUAGUUAAUGGACCCCAGGAAGAGUAGCUGCUGCAUAUUCAGUGGUUAAUGGACCCCAGGAAGAGUAGCUGCUACAUAUUCAGUGGUUAAUGGACCCCAGGAAGAGUAGCUGCUACAUGUUAAUGGACCCCAGGAAGAGUAGCUGCUGCAUAUUCAGUGGUUAAUGGACCCCAGGAAGAGUAGCUGCUACAUAUUCAGUGGUUAAUGGACCCCAGGAAGAGUAGCUGCUGCAUAUUCAGUGGUUAAUGGACCCCAGAUAGAGUAGCUGCUACAUAUUCAGUGGUUAAUGGACCCCAGGUAGAGUAGCUGCUGCACGUGUAUUAGCUAAUGGGGAUC